GUGCCCCCCGAAUGCCCAUUACGAGUCGUGUGGCGUGGCCUGCCCCCCGCGCUGUGACGACCCCCAGCUGAGCUGCGACCUGCCCUGCCAGCCGGGCUGCCAGUGCGACCCCGGGCACCUGCUGAGCGGGGGGCACUGCGUCCCCCCCACGGACUGCGGCUGCUUCUACAACCACACCUACUACCAGCCCGGUGAGGUGAUCUACGCCGAUGGCUGCCAGGAGAUCUGCCACUGUCUGUCUAACAACAACACCCGCUGCUCUGAUGCCAGCUGCCGACCCAACCAGCACUGUGUCAGCCAUGGGGAUGGGGUACAGGGGUGCUUCCCAAUAGACUCCGCGACCUGCGUGGCAUCGGGCGACCCCCACUACACCACCUUCGACAAGAGGAAGUUCGAUUUCCAGGGCACCUGCACCUACGUCCUGGCCCAGCCCUGCAACGCCAGCCUGGCCCUGGCCCCCUUCGCCGUCCACGCUGCCAACGAGCACCGGCAUGGGCAGAGCACUGUGUCCUACGUCCGGGCCGUGUUCCUGGAGCUGCCAGGAGCCUCCGUCGCUCUGCUCAAGAACCGCGU